CCUCAGAAUGGAUCCUUUGUGCCAGGCCCCAUGGGUGCCUCAGCACGGCGGUUUUAGCUUUCACUGACAAACUUUAGCCAAUUGGACCCUCACCUAUUCAUGGACAGGAAGGGGGGAAAACUGCAAGAAAUACUUUUGGUUCAGUGACAGGACUGAAAUGCUCUGCCGUCGUUGAGAUUGCCCCAAAUGGUCGAGAAGUCUCUCUUUUCAUGGCACAUUUUCACUGCGUUCGGAAGGCAGAAGGCAAAGCGACAAGGUGGAGAUCUCUGCUCCCUGACUCUGGAUCAGCUGCUCAUGGCUCAGUUUGGCACAGCUGGGACCUCCCUAUGACCUCUAACUUGCCAUGUCCCAUCGGGACCACAACGGGGCGCAAGUUGCCAGCUGGGCCUGGAGACAGAUUCCUCCAGAUGUACUGCGCUCUGAUUGGUCACUGGCCUCAGUCACCCAGUCUCAUAUUUCAAUUCUGAUGCAGAGGAAUAGCGCUGAGGAUUAUGGGUGGAGUGGAUCCUCUCAUGUCAGAGGUGGCCAUCCACCCGUCGACCAGCUGGUAAGAAAACAGCACGCAACUAAAGAGAAGAGGAGUUAAACAGCAGAACCGCUGUGUGUGCAGAUGGAAACUUAAAAUAUAGUCUAGAUAUGAAAAUACCAGUGUAUAUCUGAUGUUAUCAAGACAUAUUAAGGCCAUAAAUCAUAAAGAAGAUCAGAUGGUAACACUCUUUUGUUGUAGGGCACACUAAUAUGUCACAGCAAGAAGAUUGCUGGUUUGCAUCCCAGCCUAGCUGGAGUCUUUCUGUGUGGAGUUUUCAUGUUCUCCCUGUGUCUGUGAGGGUUUUCUCCAGAUACUCCAGUUUCCUCUCAUAGUCCAAAGACAUGGAGAUUUGGGUUAAGUUAAUUGGCGACACUAAAUUGUCUCUUGCCCCAUGCUAGCUGGGAUCUAGCUCCCCCUGUGACCCUGAAGAGAUAUGCAGUAUUGAUCAUGGAUCUAUGUAUGGGGGGCUUUGGCUGAGGGUUAGAGCGGUUGUAGAAGGUUGGUAGAUUGAAUCUCAGCCCAUGCCGAAGUGUCCUUGGGUAAUGUUUGGAUUCCACGACAAUGAAAUUUCAAGCAGCUGAGACAGACUCAAGAUUGUUCAAAUGCGUAUAUCAAUAGGUUGCUGCUACUGAGGCUCCAUCCCCUCGUCACUGAACUCUGAAUCCAAAAGUGCAAGAUGGUUAUGUUUGAAUCUGGCAUAUUUUAGCCUAAUUUCUUGACAGUGGUUCAUUAUUUU